rnacentral:rRNA from 1 species
GACGAACGCUGGCGGUGUGCUUAAGACAUGCAAGUCGAGCGGUCCCGCAAGGGACAGCGGCGGACGGGUGAGUAACACGUGGAUAACCUGCCCGGCUCCCCGGGAUAACAGGCCGAAAGGCCUGCUAAUACCGGGUAAGCUCACGCUACCGCAUGGUAGUGGGAGAAAAGGUCCUGCAAGGGACUGGGGUUGGAGGGGUCCGCGGUCCAUUAGCUAGUUGGUGGGGUAACGGCCCACCAAGGCGACGAUGGAUAGCCGGCCUGAGAGGGCGACCGGCCACACUGGGACUGAGACACGGCCCAGACUCCUACGGGAGGCAGCAGUCGGGAAUUUUGGGCAAUGGCCGAAAGGGCUGACCCAGCAACACCGCGUGAGUGAAGAAGGCCUUCGGGUUGUAAAGCUCUGUUGCCCGUGAAGAACGGUGCAGGCAGGAAAUGGCCUGUACUUGACGGUAGCGGGAGAGGAAGCUCCGGCUAACUACGUGCCAGCAGCCGCGGUAGUACGUAGGGAGCGAGCGUUGUCCGGAUUUAUUGGGCGUAAAGGGCGUGUAGGCGGCCUGUUAAGUCUGAAGUGAAAAUCCAGGGCUCAACCCUGGAACUGCUUCGGAUACUGAUGGGCUUGAGUGCUCUAGAGGGUAGUGGAAUUGCCGGUGUAGCAGUGAAAUGCGUAGAGAUCGGCAGGAACACCAGUGGCGAAGGCGACUGCCUGGGGAGUAACUGACGCUGAGGCGCGAAAGCUGGGGGAGCAAACGGGAUUAGAUACCCCGGUAGUCCCAGCCGUAAACGAUGAGUGCUGGUGUAGCGGGUAUCGACCCCCGCUGUGCCGCAGUUAACGCAUUAAGCACUCCGCCUGGGGAGUACGGCCGCAAGGUUG